rnacentral:rRNA from 1 species
AGUGAACGCUGGCGGUAUGCCUAACACAUGCAAGUCGAACGGCAGCACAGUAAGAGCUUGCUCUUACGGGUGGCGAGUGGCGGACGGGUGAGGAAUACAUCGGAAUCUACUUUUUCGUGGGGGAUAACGUAGGGAAACUUACGCUAAUACCGCAUACGACCUACGGGUGAAAGCAGGGGAUCUUCGGACCUUGCGCGAUUGAAUGAGCCGAUGUCGGAUUAGCUAGUUGGCGGGGUAAAGGCCCACCAAGGCGACGAUCCGUAGCUGGUCUGAGAGGAUGAUCAGCCACACUGGAACUGAGACACGGUCCAGACUCCUACGGGAGGCAGCAGUGGGGAAUAUUGGACAAUGGGCGCAAGCCUGAUCCAGACAUACCGCGUGGGUGAAGAAGGCCUUCGGGUUGUAAAGCCCUUUUGUUGGGAAAGAAAAGCAGCAGGUUAAUACCCCGCUGUUCUGACGGUACCCAAAGAAUAAGCACCGGCUAACUUCGUG